GCGGAAGUAGUUCAGUGGUAGAACAUCACCUUGCCAUGGUGGGGGUCGCGGGUUCGAAUCCCGUCUUCCGCUU
rnacentral:tRNA from 1 species